AAAAUGGAGAAAAGCGAGAGUUGUAAACAAAGAAGAAGAAGAGUGGAAGAAGAAGAAGUGUUAAAGAUCUGUGAGGUUACGUACUAUACUCCCAUUUGAUCUGUUCUGAAUUCAACAAAUGGAUUCUUCUUCAAAUUUAAAUCCGCUUCGUGAAGAUACCUCAGAGGAGGAUCAUGUAGUAGAACCAAUAGAUGAAGCUCCGGCGUCUGUCUUCGCCGCUCGUCCUCUUCGUCCUCCUUCCACGAGUUCGUCGGAGAAGUAUUCGCCUGUAGAGUGGACAAGCUAUUUUGAUAAAGAAGAUGAUGUAUCAAUCACUGGAUCUGACGAUGUGUUUCACGUAUAUAUGGCUGGAACUGAAGGACCUGUUGUAUUUUGUCUUCAUGGUGGUGGAUACUCUGGGCUUUCGUUUUCUAUAGUGGCAAGUAAAAUCAAGGAGAAAGCAAGAGUGGUUGCCAUGGACUUGAGAGGACAUGGUAAAUCGGUUUCAGAGAAUGAAUUGGAUUUAUCGCUCGAGACAAUGAGCAAUGAUGUUUUGGCUGUGAUUAAGGAAUUGUAUGGAGACUCUCCUCCAGCUAUUGUGCUAGUUGGUCACAGCAUGGGAGGUUCGGUCGCUGUGCAAGUUGCUGCAAACAAAACAUUGCGUAGUUUGGCUGGGCUUGUCGUUGUGGAUGUUGUUGAGGGUACUGCUAUUGCCUCAUUGAUUCACAUGCAGAAAAUUCUUUCAAACAGAAUGCAGCAUUUUCCUAGCAUCCAAAAAGCAAUUGAAUACAGCGUUAGAGGAGGGUCCUUAAGAAACAUUGAUUCUGCUCGUGUCUCCAUCCCAACAACCCUCAAAUAUGAUGAUUCAAAGCAGUGCUACGUAUACCGGACGCGCCUAGAGGAAACAGAGCAAUAUUGGAAAGGCUGUUGCCUUGCAGGUAUGAUGGUCUCUCGGAGAAGUUCUUGUCAUCUCCUGUUCCAAAACUCUUGCUAUUAGCUGGAACUGAUAGGUUGGACAGGACCCUCACAAUUGGUCAAAUGCAAGGAAAGUUCCAGAUGAUCGUGGUCAAACACACUGGACAUGCCAUACAGGAAGAUGUACCGGAGGAGUUUGCAAAUCUAGUUCUGAAUUUCGUAUCACGUAACAGAAUUGGGCCUAAUGGUGUUGAGAUACCAGGAAUGUGGAAACCUUCACAACAGCCUAAGACUUGAAUCAGCCGUCACCACCACCAGACAAUGCCAAAGCCGUCGUGUGUUUUUCACUUGUUACGCUGUGUCAGCUUAUGAAUAACAAAAACAAUCUCUAGCUCGUGUUAUUGGAUUGGACAAUACAAGAAAAUCAAAGUAAAAAGAUCACCUUCGAUAUUUUUUCAAUAAUUCAGUUUUAUGCCCGUACGUUUUUAGA